rnacentral:lncRNA from 1 species
UUAUCUAGAGAGCUAUCAACUAUUGGAGUAUAUUCAUAUUCUCUCAUAAUGCUGUAUUUUUAACUUUGGGCUGAGAAUUAAAAGCAAAAUGGCGUAAAAUGUAGACAUACUGUGGUGAAGUUGCUGUUUCAUUAGUCUCUGUUCCCAAAACUAACUUUUGAAGUUGACUAUUAUAAUAGGUCUAAACCAAAAUUGAGCCCUUAAAGUUGUUUUUUUUAACAACUUACCCAUUUUUCAAUGUGAAUUGUGUGAGUGUUGUAAGGCUUGGAAAACCU